CCUACGGGAGGCAGCAGUGGGGAAUCUUGGACAAUGGGGGCAACCCUGAUCCAGCAAUGCCGCGUGGGUGAAGAAGGCCUUCGGGUUGUAAAGCCCUUUCGGCGGGGAAGAAAUCGGCCGGGCGAAUAGUCCGGUCGGAUGACGGUACCCGCAGAAGAAGCACCGGCUAACUACGUGCCAGCAGCCGCGGUAAU
rnacentral:rRNA from 1 species